rnacentral:rRNA from 1 species
UGGGGAAUAUUGCACAAUGGGGGAAACCCUGAUGCAGCAACGCCGCGUGAGUGAUGAAGGCCUUCGGGUUGUAAAGCUCUGUCUUUGGGGAACGAUUAUGACGGUACCCAAGGAGGAAGCCACGGCUAACUACGUGCCAGCAGCCGCGGUAAUACGUAGGUGGCAAGCGUUGUCCGGAUUUACUGGGCGUAAAGGAUGCGUAGGCGGAUAUUUAAGUGAGAUGUGAAAUACCCGGGCUCAACUUGGGUGCUGCAUUUCAAACUGGAUAUCUAGAGUGCAGGAGAGGAAAGUGGAAUUCCUAGUGUAGCGGUGAAAUGCGUAGAGAUUAGGAAGAACAUCAGUGGCGAAGGCGACUUUCUGGACUGUAACUGACGCUGAGGCAUGAAAGCGUGGGGAGCAAACAGGAUUAGAUACCCUUGGUAGUCCACGCCGUAAACGAUGAAUACUAGGUGUGGGAGGGUCCAACCCUUCCCGUGUCGCAGUUAACACAAUAAGUAUUCCGCCUGGGGAGUA